GAUGAACGCUGGCGGCGUGCCUAAUACAUGCAAGUCGAACGAACAGACGAGGCGCUUGCUCCUCUGACGUUAGCGGCGGACGGGUGAGUAACACGUGGAUAACCUACCUGUAAGACUGGGAUAUCUUCGGGAAUCCGGAUCUAAUACCGGAUAAUAUAUUGCACCACAUGGUUCAAUAGUGAGAUACGGCUUUGCUGUCUCUUAUAGAUGGAUACGAGCCGCCUUAUCUAGUUGGUAAGGUCACGGCUUACCACGGCAACGAUGCCUAGCCGACAUGAGAGGGUGAUCGGCGACACGGGAACGGAGACACGGUCCAGACGCCGAGGGGAGGCCGCAGUAGGGAAUCUUACGCAAGGGGCGAGAGCCUGACAGAGCAACGGGGCGGGAGUGAUGAAGGUGCGCGGAGCGGAAAGCUCUGUUAUGAGUGAAGAACAAAUGUGUAAGUAGCUGGGCAGGGAUUGACGGUAACUGAUCAGAAAGCCACGGCUAACUACGUG
rnacentral:rRNA from 1 species